rnacentral:piRNA from 2 species
UGGUGAAUUGCAGAGGCUAUUUAGAGUCCCC